GUAAUCAAUGGAGCGUGGUGCUGACUGCCGACUACCGCAAAGUGGAAUGUUAUGGUGAUAAUUGCGAUUAUCUGGGGUGUUGUUGCAAGUUAUCUUAAUUGGUCGGCAGUUUUAUUGCUUCAGAGAUAAGGCAAUAUUGAAAUAUACCGACUUUGCGCUUAAAUGUGAAGUGUUUGUCACAGUGUUCGAAGCAGAUUCAAGACCGUUAAAUUGACAACAAUGACAAUCAAAAAGAAUACCACAAAGCUUCUGAAGCACCAAAACUGUGGCAACAUAUUCAGGCUGCUAAGAAGGUUCCAAAAAUGGAGGCUUAAGUGUGAAACUGGUGAGAUUCAAGGCUACGAAGUCACAGCCAGGCCAGCGCAUUCAAGAAUCGCAGGAAGGAUUCCCAGCUCAGCCGAAUAAAUAGUGCAUGGAUUAGUCAUGAAAAUUUGAUAUUUUUAAUAAGAGGCCAAAGAAUAACAUGUAGCAUGAACCUGUGAAUCCUAAGUAUGCUACAUUGAAUGUAUGAUUGUUAGAUUUUUAUUGGCAUUGCUGAACAAUGUUUAUGCUCAUCAGUAAUAAAAAAGAACCUCUUGAUUUCUUGCCAAAUUUGCUAUUUUUUAAAACACCUGUAAACUCCUUAUAAUGAAAAGUGUAUUUCAUGUUUCUCUGAACAGCUAUUUAUGUACACACUUGUAAACAGCGAUUUCUGUACACACCUGUAAACAACGAUUUCUGUACACACCUGUAAACAGCAAUUUAUGUACAAACCUGUAAACAUCAAUUUUUGUACAGGCCUGUAAACAGCAAUUUAUGUACACACCUGUAAACAGUUAUUUGUGUUCACACCUGUAAACAGCUAUUUUAUGUACACACCUGUAAACAGCAAUUUCUUUACAGACCAGUUAACAGCAAUUUAUGUACAUGCAUGUAAACAGCUAUGUAUGUACACACCUGUAAACAUAAAUUUAUGUACAAACCUGUAAACAGCUAGUUCUGUACACACAUGUAAACAGUAAUUUAUGUACACACCUGUAAACAGUCAUUUCUCAGUGAAAUCAGCUUGUCCUUGAUUAUCCACCAGUAUGGGUGGUCACAGGGGAAGACAAUCCUGGUCAUUUCUAAUCUUUCCAGGAUAUGCUCCUGUGGUCGAGUCAAUUUACUUCCUUUCCUCUUACUAUUUCACCUCAUUUUCAAUCUACAAUUAAACAAUGACAUUCAAAUAAAUUCAUGAAAAUAGAUCUGCAACAAUUUUACUGAAAAUAGUAGGAAGACAUAUAAGGCUCUUUUAUUUUGUUACAUUUUAGUAUUUGAUUGCAGUUUUUGUUUUGAACAAGGUCUUGCUCUUUUUAAAUAAAAAUCAAGAAUUAGCAUUUUUAAGCACUUACAACUUGACAAAAAUAAUAGAACAUGUACAUCAGUGGUGUGAUUGAGGUGAAGUCCGAGGGGAGGAGAAUUCUGCCGACUGAUUUUUACUACGCAAAUCGCUUGCAAAAAUGUCCGCAGAAUCAGUCGUACCCCAUUCCCAAUUUUUUGACGAAUUUAUGUGAAUCUCAGGAAUGAACCCCUGGACAACCCGAUUUGCGGUUCCACAUAAAAAUCACAUGCAAAUCCCAGUAUAUUCUCGCAGGUCUGCUAUUCCCAAAGUAUUUUGUUUAUGCCCCCUGGCUUUUGUUAACAAACAAACCUGUGAUGCCUACUUGUUAAAUCUGAAAUAAAACAUCGUCUCGCUGCCAGUUGAUUCUUAGUUAUUUACAAAAAGGAUAGAAAAAUACUUUGAAGCCCAAUUCUUAUAAAAUCCAUCUUAGAAAAAUGUCAUAUGCAACUUAUUUACUGGUGUGUGUGUGUGUGUAGUCUGCUUGCCAGUUCUUGGGUCCAACAUUAUAAAUAUUGUUAAAAUUCUCUGGGGAUUGCACACCACUAAUUUAUUUUGAUUAUUGUUUUGAUCAGACUCAAACAAUUCUUAAAGCUUUAUUGAUUUUUUAGGCAAAAAAGCUCUAUAGUGCUUGGAAAUAAAUGUGAACUGAUUACUGAUAUUUAUUUAUUUUUGUGAUUUAAACUCCAAUAAUUUUAAAUGAUAAAAACUUAACGUAUUGUUGCUUUUGAUGGUAUUUCCGAUCUAUCUUAUUCAUGUUUGAUUUGUUGUUUUUUGUUCCUAUGUAUUUACUGCGGAAAAUAUUGGAUGUAUACUAUACCCCUUUUGAGUUGUGGGUAAUUUUUGUAAUUUUUGUAAAGAUGUUACAUCACAAAUAUUGUAUAAAUUUAUUUACCUGAUGGUAUUAAUUUUUUAUCAGAAAAACAAUGGUGACUAUGUUAAACUUUUAACUGGAACGAACUGCAUUAUGAUCAGCGAACAUUUUAUCAAGUGAUUUCACACAUUCUCUAUAGCCAAGACUUAAAAAUGACCCACAACUCAACAAAACCAAGCCUUUAUAAUUGUAUUAGAAAUGUUGAGGGGCCGUCCAUUAAGUAUAUCAGCUCCAGGAGAAGGUGGGUGUGUAAGGACAGGGCUUUUUUUGCUGAUUUUGUGAAGCGGCCCUAGCCCCCUCAUUUUGUGAAAAAUGAGUCGCAAACUUUUCAAAAUUGUGAAAACAUGAGUCGCGAACUACUGAAAAUUGUGAAAAACCAAUCGCAAACUUGUACAAAUUGUGAAAUUCAGAAAUCAAUGCAUAAGUAUAACAAAAGCAUGUUUAACUCUUAAAUAUUAUGAAAAUGUCCUUAAAUAAUGUAAUAAAAUCAUAUAUUCCUUGUAUGAAUAUUAUAUUCAGGGGUUUUACUGGCCCCAAAAAAGUUGUGCAACUUUAUCGCGGUGUGAAAACCGCUGGUUAUUCCGACUUUAUUAAUAAGAGCAAUCAUUUAAAGAACCUUACUACAUUAAUGAAUGAUGGCAUUGACUGUAUUUUUUUAUUACUUUUAUAAGUAUGUUACUUAAUACAUAAAUAACAACAAGUACCUUCAUAAGUCUUAAUAAGCUUUAUUUUUAUAUAAAUAACUUUUUUCACUUGAUAAACCAGAUAACCAACAUAAUAUAAUAUUUGUUAACAAUAAUGUAACAGUAUCCUGCCAGUAUUUUUUUAUGGCAAUUUCUGGGCCAAUAUUCGGCCCCAUUCCCCUCAAAAAAGAGUAUAUAUUUUUCCCCAAUUUUGUAAAAAAAAUCUCCUCCAGAAGUUCAAAUAAAUAAACAAUAAUUAUUUUUUUUUAGAAAGAACUGUUUCAUAAUCAUGACAAAUAUAUCUCAAAUUUAUUUCAUAUAUAACUAACAAAGUAUAUAACUAUAAUUUAUAUGAUUUUUAAUUAUUAUAAAGUGUUAUAUUAUAUUAGAUUAAUUUUUCCAAAUCAGUGGACUUUUCACAUGAAUUGCAUUUUUCUCCCAAAAUGGCCAGGAAAAGGCCUGAUGUAUCUAUAUUUGUCAAUAUUUGUUGAUAAAAACAUUCCAAUUUGGUUCAUUUUAUUGAAAAAAAAUGCUCAAAUUUGCCAUUUAAUCGAUUUAAAAAAAACUAAAUUCGACUCAAAAUGGCUAAGAAAACUGAGACUGUGCAUGAAGGCUGAACUGUCUGAAACUAAUGUUGAAAAAAUCAAUGAUAUAUAUAUUUCAGAAAAAGGACAGGGACAUUCUACUGUGAAUAUUAUAUUCAUACAAACAUGUGUAUUCAAAUAAUAAAUAUCAUUACUUAUAAAAGAGUGAAUUUUUAAUUUUCCCCUUUUCCUAAAAAAUGACGCAUUUUUUCCCCUUUGGACGGGCCCCGCCACCAUUCCCCUAUAAGUGACUGCAUAAAUGUACAUGUAUCUGAAUUAUUUAUUGAAACCUAGAAUCACACAAAUGUACAUCAUAUGAAAGGAAAAAUGAAUAAAAAAUCAGAAAUCAAGCAUCUUAAUUCAAAUUGUUAAACAGUUACAUUUGGUCAUUUGGACAUGUUAUAAAUCAACUUCUGUUUAUUAUCAAAUUUCACAAAUUCUAAAACAACACCUUUUGUUAAAAGGUUUUCUGUUAUCUUUGGUGGUUGAUUUCCAGGUCCAAUUAAAUGAACAUUUUUUACAUCUAUUUCUUGACUAAAAGGCACAGGAUAAUUGCAACCAUUUAUUCUUGUUGUCUGAAAUAACACAAAACAUAUUUUUACAAACUAUCAACAACAAAUCAACACAUAAAUAUCACUAUAUUUAGAUGUCCGAAUUUUAACAUAUCUGAAAUAUAGUACAACGCGUGAAAGAACUACUUUUGAUUUCAGAAAUAGUUGGUAUCUUAACUAAAAUAUAUCGUUCCCAGAACAUUAUAAUACUGAAACUGUUAAACAUGUUCAUGUGAAUGGAUCACAGUUAUACUUCAUUUGAACCAAUAUUUACAAUAAUUGCAAAUGGAUAAGAUAUAGAAUAACAAGUCUUGCUCUCGGUUACCAAUGCUUUCAUUUGCAUAAAAAAAUCAGAUUACUUUCCUCAUAACUUAAUCCAUGUCCGUUUUAAUUGUGCAUUGUAAAAACACUUACACAGGUACCCUUCUGUAGAAGCUUCAGCUUUUUUAUGGUUAUCCUAAAUUUCAAUAAAUAUGGAUUAUUUG